rnacentral:tRNA from 1 species
UAUAAGGUGCCUGAUUUUAAAAGGAUAAUUUUGAUAGAAUUAAACAUGUGUUUUAACACUCUUAUAA